CCAAAACCCUUCUCCUCCCUUCCAUUCGUAUGAACCAGAAAUCAGCAAAAAAAAAAUCACACUCCUUCAUUUGAACACAUCAAAACCCAAGAACCAAGAGCAUCUUCUUCCUUCUCGAUAUUUUCAGAGAAAAUGGCUGAUUUCUUGCUUGGAAUCUGCUACAAUUGGUUAAUCUUCUUCCUCAUUCAAUCCAUUGAUUUUCGAGCUUGUAAUCUUGAUAUGAAGUUUCAAAGAAUUCAGCCCUAUCAUAGCCUCCUCCUUUGAAGCUUUCCUUCGAAAAAUAGCAAUGGCAGGAUUCGCACCUUCUUCUUCCUCCUCUUGAUGAGUUUCAUCUCCUACCUCUGAUAUUUUGAGCAAUCUCCCCUAUGAUCGGAAAUCUCAGGGAUUUCGAAAAGGCACACCAGCCAUUGAUACUCUUCUUCUCCUUGUCGCGUGUUGGUGUGAAUUAAGCAUCAAUGGUGAAAUGUUUUUUUCUGGUGCCUCCGUAUUCUUCCGCAAACAAAGGAGGGAAACACCAACUUUGUUUCUAUUGAUUUUGCAUCAAAAUCAGAACAACCUUACCUCCUGUUGCUCCUAAUUUCUGCCGAAAACAGAGGCGAUUUCUCUGCGGAACCAUUCUAGCUGAUAUCUGCGAAUUGAACCCAACUCUUUGAAGCGUCGUCUUUGGUGAGUAGUAGCAGUCCCUUAAAGGGUCUGGUCAGACUACAAUUUUGAAAAUUGUUUUAUUAAAGGUUGUGAAAUUAUAUUGUUGAGAUAAAUUUGUUAUGAAUGUUUAUGCUGAUAUUGAUAUGGUCAAUGGAUCGGGCUUACUAGCUCGUCAUUGAAGGAGUGGCGGGACAUUGUCUCCUAUUCCCUAUAUAUUGAGGUGAAUUGUCAUUCAAAUAUUGACCAGCCUCACCCGAGAGUGACUUAGCCUUAGAGCUAUGGAUGUUCCUAUCAACUAGACUCCCUGUGCGCAAAUAGAUCUAGAAAACUGAUGUUGUUUUUAAAUCUUUGUUUUGAAUUACUGUGUUUUGUUGUUUUGGAUUGUUACUUCUCAUUCAGUUUAACCUGUCCCCAUGUUGUUUCCUUUUUUAGAAUUGUUUACAGAUCGGAACCGGUCGGGAACAAUGGGUUAGCGGUGUUGAUUAGAGUUUCAAGGAUGUUAUAUUGGCCUGAACACGUGGGAAUUUGUAGUUUUGUAUUAAGUUUUUGAUAAAUGUAUAAUAGACUUAGUUGUGUUGGUUAUAUUGGACUUAAUGUGAUUUGUAUGAUUACCUUGUGCUUCAGUUAGAUGUUUGGUUUGGGAAUUAGCUGAGUUAGUUACGUUAAAGAACUGGUGACUCCUUUGCUCAAGUUUUGGAAGUGUGAUUUAAGUUUCUUAGGAAAUGAACCCCGUGAUGACCCUAUUUACUCAGUCGACGGUAAGUCUUGUUGUUACAAUGUCGUGAUAAAUUGGUAUUAUAUCAUGAUAAAUUUGAAUUAAUCCCAACUUAUAAUAUAUAUAAGUUGGGAUCACAUAUAUUGAAAAUUGGCAUUAAAUAAAAUGAAAUCAGUAUUAUAACAUGAUAAGUUGGGUUUUAAGAUUGUUUAAAUUGGGAUUAUAUCAUGAUAAGUUGGU